UACAGAGGUCUCAAGCGUUGUUCGGAUUCAUUGGGCGUAAAGGGUGCGUAGGCGGCGCGGUAAGUCGGGUGUGAAAUCUCGGAGCUUAACUCCGAAACUGCAUUCGAUACUGCCGUGCUUGAGGACUGGAGAGGAGACUGGAAUUUACGGUGUAGCGGUGAAAUGCGUAGAUAUCGUAAGGAAGACCAGUGGCGAAGGCGGGGUCUCUGGGCCACUACUGACGCUGAGAAGCGAAAGCAUGGGGAGCGAAACAGG
rnacentral:rRNA from 1 species